UACGGAGGGGGCUAGCGUUGUUCGGAAUUAUUGGGCGUAAAGCGUCCGCAGGUGGCGAUUCAAGUCUGCGGUCAAAGACUGGGGCUUAACCCUGGAAAGGCCGUGGAAACUGAAAAGCUAGAGUGCAGUAGGGGUAGAGGGAAUUCCCGGUGUAGCGGUGAAAUGCGUAGAGCUCGGGAAGAACAUCGGUGGCGAAAGCGCUCUGCUGGACUGCAACUGACACUCAGGGACGAAAGCUAGGGGAGCGAAUGGG
rnacentral:rRNA from 1 species